rnacentral:misc_RNA from 1 species
CGUCCACCCGAUUCUCCGGCGCACUCGCACACUUCACGGAUCACUUCGUUCGUCAAGUGGGCUUCGGCAACGGAAUACACUACCCAACGGAAAGCCAGCUGCAGUUACAUUCUUCAACAUAACCGCCAUAAUGAAGCCGAGGAGCGACCUUUCAGUCUUCCGUCUACAUCAGAAGAAGGGCGAGAUUAGACGAGAGUAAAGCGCGGAAGAGCGCGACGACUCGUUCUCACUAUGCGUGAAUGGCUCGUGCCUCCGAUCUAUAGUGAGCGCUGUCUUCGCUCUGUUUGCAGUUGGCACUGCGGCUUUUCUUUUCGUCUUUGCCCUCUCUCUUGGCGGUGCUGCUGUGGUUUUUUUUCUGCGAAAACGCAAUACCUCCCUCUCUGUUAUGUUCUCAACCUCGGGUUCUAUUGCUCACGUUGGUGUGCUGUACAGCCAUCCACCCACCCCCCUCCCUCUCCUUCUUUCCAUUAUCCCGUACCCUCUCCACAGCGGUACUCGUCGGACGCAUGUGCACGCGAGCGGGGAGGCAUUAAACGACUCUCUCUUUCUGUUCUCCCCCUUUUUGCGGGUCUGCGUCUUUCCUGUGUGCCGCUCUUCCUGCUUACUUUCAUCCUACACUUUAUGUGCUUCCCCCCCCCCCAAAGAUCUCAUAACGGCACUUGAGAGACAAACACGCAAACGCGAGGGCCCGCACACACUAUGGUCUACGUGUACUCAAGAGCGGUGAAUGAUGACGAGUCUCGCUUACUGUCCCCUUCUCUCCCAAAGCUAGUCUGUGCAAUCAGCUCUGCCUUCCCCACUAAAAAAAAAAGACGGAAAGAAUGAUAAUCAUACGACGGCAUAUCUAGCAGUAGCCCAUUCACACCCCACAUUGUGUAGGUCACGGUGACGCUCCUUACACUCAAGCCGGUGACCGGUCACAGUGCAGCUUGAUCCGAAGAGACACCCGUGCCUGCGUGCGCGUGGGCCCCUCAUCCUGAAUACAAAACGCUUCCACCCUGCCGUUGGCCGUGCUUGAUGAGGACGAGAUGCCCUUCAAUCAGGACCGCAUCACCGCAGUCUCAUCGCGGGCCCCCCAUCGGGAAGUCUCCGAUGGGCCGCAUUGCUGCACCCCCGGCGCCGCCAUCGCGCCACUCUCGCGAAGGCAAGGCAAUCUCCCCGAAACGUGCAUUACGCAGCUCGAUAAGGGCGAACACAGCAGGCAACUGCCAGAGGCGCUACGAAAAGCUUCUCUAUCUGGCGGAAGGAAGAAAGCACAAACGACGGCACGGGACCCCUUGCCUCGGAGCGAGUGGAAGGUGUUCAGAGGAUCUAAGUCCCACAUCGCCGUCCGAAAGUCCCGCACUCCAAGCUCCAAUACACCGAACUCAACGUGAGGAAGCUUAUCAGCGUCUCCUCGGCGGCGUACGAGACGCUGGCCAGCGACGUCGCGUCGGUUGUCGAAUUCCGUUCCGUCUUGGAAGAAGGGCGAGCUGAGAGUGCCGUACCGCGCGCACACGCCACACAGUAGUCCCAGCCAUGAAUUUCUCGCAACUGUAUGGCCACCGCCUUACGAGGCUGCCGCACCCAGAAUGCGACGCCUACGUCGCACAAGGUGCUCCAAUGGCGCCCGCAUCUCCGACGGGUAACCGCGAGAAGAGUGCAGCAGCCGGACGAGUAUACGCAUGUGCUCCCCACGCCUCGAAUACGCGGCAUGUUGCCUCCUCACAGAUAACCAUCUCACAGCCUGAAGAGGAGGAGGGGUCAUUCUGCACGUUCGCAGAAGUCAUCG